rnacentral:rRNA from 1 species
GAUGAACGCUGGCGGCGUGCCUAAUACAUGCAAGUCGAGCGAACAGACGAGGAGCUUGCUCCUCUGACGUUAGCGGCGGACGGGUGAGUAACACGUGGAUAACCUACCUAUAAGACUGGGAUAACUUCGGGAAACCGGAGCUAAUACCGGAUAAUAUAUUGAACCGCAUGGUUCAAUAGUGAAAGACGGUUUUGCUGUCACUUAUAGAUGGAUCCGCGCCGCAUUAGCUAGUUGGUAAGGCAACGGCUUACCAAGGCAACGAUGCGUAGCCGACCUGAGAGAGUGAUCGGCCACACUGGAACUGAGACACGGUCCAGACUCCUACGGGAGGCAGCAGUAGGGAAUCUUCCGCAAUGGGCGAAAGCUUGACGGAGCAACGCCGCGUGAGUGAUGAAGGUCUUCGGAUCGUAAAACUCUGUUAUUAGGGAAGAACAAAUGUGUAAGUAACUAUGCACGUCUUGACGGUACCUAAUCAGAAAGCCACGGCUAACUACGUG